GGGAACUAGGGCAAGGCUUUAGAGAGGGAUAACUGAUCAAUUAGUUCUAAAUGCCAGAAAAGCUUCUACAGGAGGAAAGUCUUACUUUGGAACCAGCGGGUUGCGUUUAAUUAAUGUGGAAAUGACGGAAACACCCCCUUCUCUUACAAGGAGUAAAUGACUGGCAAACAAGAAGGGAGGGAAAUUUACAAAGAUCUUUCAACGAAGAGGCAGAAAAUCUCUUCAUCUAGACCAUCUUUCUCACCUUCCCCUACCAUCCUAUUUCCAGGUACCAUGUCCCAGACCACUAGCACAAAGUCCAGGAGUCUAAAGGCAUGAAUUCCCAAAUAUAUUGUUCCUCGGAGACAUCUGAGUCUGCUUCUGAAGAAAACUGUGAGAUUUAGGACAAUUCUAAGUAUGCUAUCUCUGUGCACAGCCCACAAGCAGAAAAAAAUAGAUGACUUGAAGGAGGCGGUGGAGCCCUUGGAUCACUAGUUCUCAGCCUGGAUGGUUUUGUCACCCCAGGGGAUAUAUAACAAUGUAUGGAGAUAUUUUGAUUGUCACAACUGGGAAUAUGCUGUUGGUAUCUGACUAGACCAGACUGGAUGGACUAUGCUCUAAUAUCCUAGAAUUUCCUGCUUCCAUGUGGAAAAGAACAUACAACAAAAAUGAAGAAGUCAUACUUCAGCUUUUAUCUUCUUGUGGCUCAAUCA